AACUCCAUUUAGAGUAGAAAAAAUGAAGAUAUAUGUAUAAAAAUCAGCGGACAUUUCCCCGCUUUUUGUUGAGUGCAAAACGCGGUUCAUUAGAAAAAAUUGCAGUCGGCAGAGCCGUCGACGUCUGCGGUUGAUGGCUGCUGCUCCAUUUUUAUUUCCAACUCCCUUUUAAUUUGCAUACGUAUGCGUGUUGUUGUAGCUGUAUGUAGGAUGUACAUACAAACUUACAUACACAUAUAUUCCCGCUGAUUUUUAUUUAUUUUUCAGUUGUUUUUUGUGUGUUUUUGCCACGGCCACGGCCAAUGCCACCCCCUUUUCGGAUGGGAAAACACUGAAAAGUGCUGAAAAUCGCCGGGACACAGGCUCCGUGGUUCAUCCUGCCAGUCGGCCUUGUGCAGUUACCCGCCAGCAGCCGAUGUCGCCAGUUGCCAGUUGCCAGUUGCCACGAAUAAAUCUUAGUCAGCAGCAGACUGGCCAAGAUCAGCUAGCUGGUCUCUAAAAGCAGCCAAAAGCCAGAGCCAAAGCCAGAAUCAGAAUCACAAUCCAGUUGCUGUGACACUUGCAGCCUUAUUUUGCAGCGGAACAACAACUAUAACGACAACAAAAACAACAAAAACAACAACCAUAAAAACAACAACACCAACAAAGUCGACGAGACGGCAGCAACUUGCAGAGAGUCCGAAUUGAUUUAUGGCGCAAAUUUUAUUGUCUGGCCGGGAACUGGAACUCCUGACCAGUUGGCGCUCUCAACUUGUUAGCCACACUAACUGUAAAGCCCCGAAAGUGCGUCUGUGUUUGUGAAUCGUGCGCGUGUCAUGUGACAUUGACUUUUAGCUGGGUGAAGUUUUCCCCACAUCAACAUCCAAAUCCGAAUCCAAAUCCACAUCCAUAUCCACAACUGUAGCAGUCAGUAUAUCCAGACAUCCACGCCAACCGUGUGCAACUUUGUGUAUAAAUUAUAUUAUAUAAAACUGAAACAUAAAUUUCAACUUAACAAACUGUAACAACUUUCGCUUUGGACCGCAAAAAGAGAACCACGCGCUGGACAAAGUUUGCGGUGUAUUUGUUGGGUCAACAACAAGGGGAAAAUCACAACGACUUCUGGGGCCCCAAAAGGCAGACGACGGCAGUCGGCAGUUGGCAGUCGGCGAAGUCGUACCCGUCGUACUUUUUUCCAUUCCAAAUACCCCACCAAACCCCGGAGCAAACCCAUCCGAAGAGCACACUGAGGAAGCAGAGCUGGAGAAGAACUGGGGAACCACAAAGGCAACAUGUUGCACAUGCACUCGCCGAAAGCAAUUUGCAUACAAAUGUUGCCAACGCACUUCAAAAACUGCACAAUCACAGGGGUUUUUCUGGGCGGCGGCGGCGGCGGUGGUGCUGCGGAAAAGGGUAAAAGCCGCUUCAUAAUUUGAUAUUAAACAUGCACGCGUGUGUCUCCCUCUCUUUCCCACCCAAUGCGAGCAACUUGUAAAUUUGCAAAUUGCUAAAAUGCUAAAAUGCAUGACAGGAACAAAGGCGAGGGGCAGGAGCUUCGGCGGGGGGGGCGGAAGGAGGAAACUUGGGGCAACUUUCGGGCAGCUGCGUGAAUUUGCAUUUACAUCAAGGAACCGCAGGACAGGAAAAGGACCAAAAAAAGGUUACCCGAAUUCAGCCUCAGAAGGAAACUGAAACUGAAUAUAAAAAAGCCAGCUCUGCUCAAUUGACUUUCAAUUGCAAAAUAAACAUAGUGCACUGCGGGAAAAUGCAAGCAAGAUCAAGCAAUACUUUUGAAAUAUAAAUCCAUAUAAGCUCCUCCAAAAAAUUAUUAAUAAUUUUUAUAAAUUUACAAAGACAAAAGAAUUUGGUUCCUGUCUGUUUAUAAAAUAUUUGUAAAUUUUAUAAUAGAAAAGUUUUAUAAAACUAGGAUUGCCAAGGAAUAGUUAUUUCCUUUUAAGGUUUGACAAUAUAUUUUCAACAUCACAAUUGCAACCAAGUUUUUCCAGUGCUCUCGUUGGAACACAAAAGGCAAGCCCAAAUGAAUUUAUUUUCAAUUUUAUUUUCAAUCUGCUUUUCGUCCGUCAUAUGAUUGACAUGGUCGAUUGAACGGGCGAACGAGCGAGGGAGUGGAACGAUACACAUAUCGUUUAUUUUUGGCAGCAAGUGUUUGCCUUUGGUUUGCAGUUUUGUUAAUACUGCACUCGAAAAGCCCCGAGACACCUCCUCGACUGGCCAAAAAUGCGAGGAGGGCCCUCGACAACGAGAUCUUCUCAGUCUUAAUAAGCUGGCACAAAAAAGUACACACUUUUUAUAUCUGAUUUCUACACGCAAUUAUAUGUACUCCUAUUUGCGGGGUAUUUGUGUGUGUGUGUGGCUAUAUAAAUCAUAUUUAUGAGACAUUUCCCCUGGAGGAAAAGGAAAGGAAAAAGGAAAAACAUGUGAAUGUUAAAUAGGCACGCAAUGUGCGAAAGGGAUGGCAGGAAAUGCGUCACUCUCCCCAUUUUCCUCACUUUUCCUCGGCCGAAGGAAAACAAUAAUCAAUAAGUAAUACGAGGGCCAAAACAACUGUGGGGAAAGUCACCCCCGAUUUAUCCGCAUUUCCUCCCUCUCGUUCAUAUGUGUUACAAUUUUUGCUGCCUUUCGCCUGGGUAGUUCAUAACUUUUCUCUCAUACGUGUGUGUGUCUGUGGUGGUUUUCUUGGCCAGGACUUCAGGCGUUUGACAGCCAUGUUUGUCCUUCGCACACACACUCACACAUGAUUGUAGGCGUCGCCUUGUGGCACCCCAAAAAAUACAAAAAAAUUAAGGAAAAAACCGAAAAGUGUUGGAAAAGUGUGCCACAAACUUUCUGCACGAGAAAAAGUUUGUCUGCUGACACAGAUCUGUGUGUAAAUGAGCGAGAUAAGAGGCAUUUGCAAAUUUUCCAGACUCUAGCUCUCUCUUUCACUUUAACCGUACACACAAAAAAAAAAGCUGAAUUACCUCUUGGGUAAAUUAACCUUUUAAUGGCAAAACAAUUAUCACAUUAAACGGCAAAACCCAUUUCAUAUUGGGCUAUAAUUAAUCAUUAUCUUCUAAUGGCAUAAUUGAAAUUAUUUUCAAAGCUUGUAAUUAACACAUUCAUAAGCUAUAAUUUUGAUUAAUUUUUAUAAAUCUGCACUUUGGGCUAAGAAAAAAUACUUAAUUGCUUAAAAACUUUAUUUAUAAAAGGUGAAGGCUUUUUUGGAAAUCUUUCAAAUGAUUUGUCGCCUAAUAAAUCACCUUAAGAAUUUUCCGUUGAGUGUAAGAAACCUUUUUUGGAUUGCCAAAGAGUUACCGAAAAACAAAUUUGAAAAAUUUGGUUAGACUUUGGGUUCAUUUCAGUUAAGGCCCAUCUGAUUUAUUGUCAUAAGUUUCAUUGAAAUUCAUGAGGCUCUUGGAUGAACCUCAAAAAAAAAAAAGUAGAAAAAACAGGGCGUGGCCCAAAUGAUGUGUGUGUUUUGUGUAUGUGUGUGAGUGUGUGAUGUUGCGCCUACGCAAUGCCCCAAAAGAUUUAUUUCAAUGGAACGAAGGGAAAUUAUAAUAUUUUCCAACUUCUAUUAUUGAAAAGGAAAUAUAAAAGAAAUAAAAAGAAAUACAAUUCUGUGGGGAGAUUAUGAAAAGAGCUGUUGAUGUAUGAAUUGUAUGGGCCUCUCAUAAAUCUAGGGGCCCUGUCAAGGUGUCCAUAAGUUUUUCUCUCGAGUGUGUGUGUGUGUGCGUGUGUGUGUGUGUGUGUUGUGCUCAAGUGGCAGUCAUAAAUUUGAAAUUUAUGUUCAUCUCUCGUUGGGAUUCCGUAGUCUUUUUUCCAUUUACCAUUUUUCGGUUUUGGUCAAGAGAACCUGACACAAAGCAAAGUUCUUUCUUCUUCGCUUGUUAAUUAAAUGCGAUUGCAUCAUCGCAUCUUUCAGUUGUCCAACUCAAUGGGCACAGAUGAGGUUGAGAUAUUAGUAAAAGAUACAAAAAGUUUUGAUAGAUACUGAAAAGAAUUUAUGAGUAAAAAAAUCUAGAUUAAAACUAAACAAAUUGAAAACAUUUAUUAAGUUUUUUUUAACAUAUUUUUAAUUCCUGAAGCAUUGAACUUAGGUGUAUGUAUCUCUAUCCCAUUUUAUCAAGCUAUGACUGGACAGAAAUUGUCGCUAAUCGCUGCUCAUGUACCCAAAGACAUGCCGCAUUUGUCUUUGUCUUUAUUUUUUCGGCUUUGCCGGCUUUGACAUUGAUUGACAUUUUCUUAUGAAUUUUCUGUAUUUUUCCCGUCACUAAUUUCUCGUGGCGUGUUUGUUCUGACCGCCAAAAUUGCUUGUCCAACAUUUGUUGGACAUGUUUUUGUACUUUGGUUCGGCUUUAUUUUUUUUUGUUAGGAACAUACAAACAUACGUACUACACGCAAGUGCGGAAGAUUUUAAGGCAGAUCCGUUAAACAUCAAAAUCAACUCUUUCAAGCUCAUUAAACAGCCAGUCAAAAAAAUGGAAUAAAGCCAAAAGUUGACCUUCAAAAACGCAACGCAGCCAAGCGAAAAUGGCAAAAAACCAAAAAUAAAACACAUAAUACGAAAAAUAACAAAAGUCAGAGCUGCUUGGAAACAGGUUGUUGUUUUGCUCUCUCUAUUGUUAACAUUUUAUUAUGCUUUUUUCAAGCGGAAAGCAACAAAAGCCCCCAAAACUCUUGCAUUUUUACGAUUAUUUACGAUCGAAAUUCAUUUCUCUGGCGAUUUUUGACCUUGCAGUUGUUGCACUUUACACGUGCCAGAAAUUGAUAAUGAAAAAGCGCGUUUUCAGGUGUUAAUCACACUGCCGAGCUAUAAAAAAAACAUGCGAAAAAAAGCAGAUAAAGCCAGCAGAAAAAACUGCCUAAAGGCGCCAAAAACAUUUCGACGACGCGCCAAAAAAACAUUCAAAUUAUAAUGAAAGUUGCGAUCAAAGAUCUGUUUUUUAUAUACCCUUUCGAUAAGAAAAAAAAUUUUGUUAUUCAAUUUUUUUUUGUGCAUUUGAAAUGCUUUUUCAAUCACCUUAUAAAAAAGAUCAGAAUUUCUUAAGGCAACACAACUUACUAAAUUUUAUCAUUAAACUAAUGAUCAAAUUAUUCGUAAGAUAUUUGUCUACAUGGUCUUAGAUACAUACGUAUCUUGUAGGUUUUAAAACGUACUUUUAUUACGAGUUUUUGAUUAUAGUAAGCUUACUCAAAAAUACUCUUUUUACGAAUAUUCUAAUCGCAAAUAGGCGGUUGCCGCGAUGACGAAGAGUUUGUCUGUUGUAGAUCUUUAUUUGCCAAAGGUUUUUGUUGUUUUUCUUGUGGGCACUUCAAAAGUCGUGUGCGAGUUUUUCUUGUUUUUGUUGUAUAUCGCUUGUUUACUUUUACGGUAAAUACGAAAAGCAACAACAACGACAACGAGGACUACAAAAAAGCGCGCGCUCGUCGCGCGUAUCUAGAUAAAUAUCUGUGAAAAUACACUUGAGGCCAAGCUACUGUACAUACGCACGGCGACUGCGACGCCAGCAGCGACGUCGACGGAGAUAGGCCUAGGCACGGUGGACGCCAUAAUAAUAGGGAAAAGCUACCCACAGGUUUAUAAAACAUUCCCAAAAUUAGUAAAUUUUUUUAACGAACGCAGUUAAGUAAUCGAAAAUGGUAAAAAAUAUAUGAACAGUUUAGCUUUUAGUUAGUAACAAAGUUAUUUCAAUUUAUUUUGAGCAAAAUCAACUUCUUCUUAACUUUUUACAAUUCAGCCUGAAGGCUUUGUUUGGUUACCAAUAUUUUGCCCUUAGCUGUUUUUUGUUGCUGUUUUUUUUUCCAGCGAAGGCAACGACCAAGAACAACAACAAGAAAGCGAUGACGAUGCCAAGCAAAAACAAUCGUAAACAGAUCAUCGAACUCGGUUGCUUUUGUUUUUGUUACUGGCCGAAUGCUUUUGGCCUUGAAAUGCCCCUUAAGUGAAUUUUUUUUCGGUGUAUGCCUUUUUUGGCUCAAAAACUUUUUAAUCGUUUCAUUAAUUAAAAUACUGUUGUUUUUCUGUAUUUUUGUAUAGCAAUUUUGGAUUUUUGGUGAUAUUAAUUGAGUUGAAAACGCGUGCGGCGCCCACGCAGCCAGCAGCGACGUCGGCGUUGGCAGAGCAGCUUUCACCGCUGCUUGCGUCAUGUUGGGCUACAUGGCAACAGAGCGACAAAGAUACAAAAUAUGCAUUUGGUGUUUGGCAGUAUGUGUGCGCAAUGCAGCGGCUACAAGUGGGCAAUUCACCAUCACGGAAAACCACCACCAAAGAAACCCACCACGGCAGCGACGUCGACAGCAGCCAACCACGAAACCGCGUGCGUUUCUGUUUUCCGCUUUCAAACGAUUUAAAACGCUUUCGAUGGCAGCAACACGCGGACGUACGUCUCCGGUUUUUGAAGUAAAAAUAACUACGAAAAUUCUAAAUAAUUUACUAAUAUUCAAAAAAAUUAGAAUUCGUUUUAAAAAAGACUUUUAAAACAAAUUGUACGGUUGUUUUUCAAACGGUAAAGCUCUUCGUUAACUAAAGAGAAAAAACUGGAAUUACUGGAUCGGCCAGAUAUAGUCGUUUAUAAGUGUGUGUGCUGCACUUGUAGCGCUGCUUACGUGCACAAGUGAACGUCGACGCGUUUUCUAAUCUGCCGAUUAUCGAUUGAUAGCGAUAAGCCGCAGUCGACGUCGACGCAGUCAGCGACUGCAACACUCACACAAAGAAAGAACAAAAACACAAUCUAAAAAACACAGAUACUCUAAAAAAAACACACUUCAUAGCUGCGCGCGACUUUGUUAGAAGUUGCUGCGCGCGUUUAAAGUCGCGCGAUCAAAAACCUACGCUUUGCCGCAGUCGACGUCGCUGCCACCCGACUCUGUCGCAGUCGCUGCCUCUGCCAGCGACGACGUCGAACAUCGCCGCACUUCGAGUUAUUUUCUGCGCGACUUCGCUGCGUUUUUUUCAUUUAGGUUUCGGAGCUCCAAAGUCGCGCAUCAAACGCUCGCAAAGCGCUCCGUGUGUUCGACUCGCGUGACUUGACUUAAAGUUCGUAAAAACUCGAAACAAUUUACAAGUGAUAAAGAAAAAUCAAAGGAAAAUUUUGCCUUAUAAUAAUAACGGAUUAAAAAGCUUAACCUAACCAAAGAUGUAGUAUUUUCAAAAAAAGUCAGCAUAGAAAUAAUGGAAAUAGUAAUAUUAAAACAGCUUGGAAAAUAAAUUUAAAAAAUUAACAAAAUCAAAUAGAAAUAAAACGAAAUAUAAACACAUCUAAACGUGAAUAAAUUCAUAAAGCCCAUAAACCUAUUGACUAAACCGCUUUUUGGACAAAAAUAUAUUUAAAAAAGACCAUUGAAACAACAAAAAAUAAUUUAACAAAAUCGUCGAAAAUAAAAACCCAAAAAUAUUUAUUCGUGGUUAAAAUUUAAAGUUAAAUUUCCUGAAAUAUAUCUGCGCUCGUUAAAAAAUCCUUGAAAAAAGCUGCGUCAACAAACAAAUAAAAAAAUUAUUUCUUUCAUUAACAAUAAAAAAAAUAUAUAUAACCCGCAAAAGGGCAUCAUUAAAGUAUAAAAAGUAAAAAUCAACAAAUAAAAAAUUAGUCGAAAAACUUUCCACAGAAAUCAUAUUUUGCAUAAAAAAAACUGUUGUUUCGUAAACUAAUAAUAGCAAUAAAACCCCCACAGACGCAUUUCUAGAUUAUUAAUUAUGAUUUAAAAAUUAUUUAAAUUCAAUCAAACAAAAAGUUGAUCCAGCACAAAAAAAAAUAAAACACCAAGCCCUAAAAAAACAACGCUGAAAAAGCUGCCAAGCGAGAAACGACGGAGGACCAUAUAUAACCAUAUAUAACCGUCGUCGUCAUCAUCAUCAAGCUAGAAAUUCCCCCAGCACAAAUCCCAUGAAGAGAAUCCCAUCAGCAGAAUAACAACAACUAAAAUACUACAGAAAAAAAGAGUUGGAAUUUUUGUAAGCUGGUAUGUGAGUUGUUGUUCGCCUCUUUACGGUUCGAGUUUUGUGAAAAAGAAAAGGGAAACGCUGCCAAGAUAUUUUUUACCUGGUUUUUGCCAUCAGCGAGGUAUAGAGUUCCUACGUUCAUUAUAAACUCGUAGGAACUUCAUACCGUGCUCUUGGAAGACCAAAAAACAACAAAGUAAAUGCUAAAAUCCCAAAAAGCAAGGCGAAAACAAACAAAAAGUGCGUUUUAAAGCGGUGAGAAAAUGCUGGAGAAACUUAAAGGAAGUUGCAAAUGAUGGGAAAGUAAGAGUUAAUACAACAGCGGUAAUCAGAAUUGUAUUCAGCAGUGAUGUUUAUCCGAACUUUUUAUAGUAACUUCAAGCAACUAUAAAAUCUAGAGUUGUCCAUAAAAGUGCUAAAUAAAAAAACCAAAAGCGCAAGGGACUUUUGUUAGCUUGGUAAGAAAUUAUAUUCGAAAUUUUAACUAAAUCUAUGACGAAAAACGAGGAGAUUUUUUUAAAAUUUUUUUGAUUUUAUUAUUUAUUAAUCCAUACUACUUUCCAUAUCCAUACUUUAAGAAUAAUGUGUAUCAAAUGCUUUUAAAUACAUCAAAACUAAAAGUAAAUCGUUAAAAGCAUACAUAUGAACGGUUUUUAAAAGCCUAUUAUGGCUCGUUAUAAAAACAAAAUAUUAUUUCAAGCAAACAAACAAACAUGUAAAACAUAUUCUAUUUAAAAAAAACACACGAUAUCGAUUGUCAAAGAAAGGAAAAGCAUUAAAGAGCUAAAUAUACAGAACGAUAAGAUAUGGAAAGGCAUUUUUAAAUCACCAAUUCAAAGCUGGAAAAGGGUGAACGAGGUGCGGCUGAUCCGAGCCACUCAAAAGUACUUGUCAUAAAUUAACAAACAUUAUUUCUAAUCUAACUAAAUAUCAAUUUCAAUUAAUUGUCGAGAACAGAUAACGUUGGAUGUGGAUGUGGGUGCUCCGUCUCGCUCUAUAAAUGUAUAUAUCCCUCUCUUUUUCCGGCUAAAAAGCUUCCACUUUCGAUUUGCUAAUUGCUAAAGUUGUCUCGCGACUAAUGGAAAUUGUUUAUUGUUGAUUGGUUAGUACUGUGGGAAUUGCCUAAUUGUAAUUUGAGAAGUGAAUGAAGGAGAAGAUUGCUACUAGUUUAGUAGAGGUUAAAAAGGGUUAAGACAAAUCUUCUAAGUAAUAACAGAAAAGCUGCGAAAGAAGUACUUUGAUUUCUUCCCUAACAAUAUUAUCCACUAAGAGAUUUUUUUUUCUCUGCAAUCGCAAAUUUCAGAAAUAUAAAAAGGCACAGAAAAGGAAUUUAUAAAAAAUUAUUUUAAACGAUAUAACUGUCUGGACAUGACAAAAGAAAACCUCGAAACUGAACCCAGCUGAUAGUGAAAAUGCAUUCCAUUUUUAUUUAAUUUUUUUGCUAUGCUCGAUAAGCAGAGAAAUAUAAAAAAAAUAAUAACCACAAUACACACAAUUUGCAUUGACACACCGAAGGCCGCAAUGAUAAUUUUAUCAACUGAAAAAAUGAAGGAGGAAAAAUAAAAAUAAAUAUAUAUUUACUUUAUCGUGCGAAAUGGGAAUGAAACGAGGAAACGGUUUCCUUGCUGCUUUCGCAAUUUUCGCAGCAUAUUUGCCACUGUCAGUUGGCCAAAAGGAUGGCGACCGGGCCAACAACAUUGCGUUGUUAAUUUCAGCGCUUUAAAUUCCUUUACUUCGGCACUGCUGUUGCAGCAGUUAAUUUAAUUUCAGCUCAUAAAUCAAAACUGUGCCGCGCAAAAUGUUUGCUUUUGACGCGCCGUUUUUGUCGCCAGACAACCAACAUCGCUGGACAUUGGACAUUGGACGUUGGACAACUGGAACGGACAUUUGGGACAGCAGCUGGAAAGCAGAGGAUCGGGAGGAUGAGGAGGAGCAGGAGUUUGUCAACAGAAAAGGUGCCCAAGACCACUUUACAAACGCCUGAUGUUUGACAAACAUCGGCAGAAUGGGCCGUGCUUGGCAGGGAAAUAUUAACCAGACAAUUUUCAAAAGCUUCUUCUUAACAUUAAAAAAAUUGUUAUUGGUAAAUCUAAAAAAUAAACAGGUUUAGAAAAAUUCACAAAAAUUAAGAAAUUAAAUAUUAGAACAGUUGUGACAUCUGAAAUGAAGAAAAGAUUUGAAAUCUAAACAACUAUAACAAUUGAAACAUUUAUUGAUUUCAGAAUUUAAUCUUGUUAAUUAAUUUAAUCAUUAUUCAUUUUCUGUAAAUAUGAAAGUAAAACAUGUUAUUUAUAUAAUAUUUAUUUUAAUACAAAAUUUUCUGUUGAAUAUAAAACAUAUUUAAUAUGAGCUUUUAGCUUUGUUUUCAUAAUAAAUUGCAUUUCCAAUAAAUAAAAUAUUUACUAAAGAACAGGUUUGCUUUUAUUAACGCCUAUAAUGACAUUUGCCUUGGUAAUUUUUUCUGAUUCACUGGCCAACUAAGCCGGCUCUAUCGCAGGUCAGUCUUUGUCCCCUUCAACUCCCUACACUUCUCUAUAUAUAUAUAUAUGGAGCCCUUCCCAGUUAACCAAGCCCCUUCGGCCGCAGACCCAUUCCCAUUUCUAUUUCCAUUCGAGGGGCACUCAAAAGCGUGACAGUAAAUAGUAAACUAAAUGACAAGUACUCACAAUAGUUAGAUAGAUAGCCGGGGAUAGUUGGAUAGUUGGGCCCAGAGCAGAGAUGGGCGACACAGAUAUAUGUGCCGGCAGAAAUACGGAAAAAACGUAGUAAAACACAGGGAAAAAAGUGGAAACUGGGUGUGUACUUAUGCCAAAAUGUUAACCCUAUAAGCAUUGAAGCUCGUUAAAUGCCAAUCGCGUUGACACGACCCAAACUGCUGACUAACUAAGUCGAAGAGAGAAAACCCGCAUAGUACCUACUCCAGUAAUCCGAUGGACGGAGGAGAAAAUCUUUGGGAAAUUGACCAUUUUCAGUUCAGUAGUGAUCGGAAUAAAGAUACCCUAAAGUAUAAGCUUACAGAC